UAAAUGAUUCUUGACUAUUCCAAGGCAUUAUGAAUUCUGCAUGUAUGCAUUCAUUUCUCAUGUUUUGCAUAAUUUCUGAUGACUGUAUGCACAAGUGCACAAUGCAGAAACAGCAGCUAGCUAGCAUGAUUACUCAUUAAAUUUAACAAGUAGGUUAGAAUCACCUGCUAUAAAAGUAAAAUGAAAGCAAAAUUACAAUUUUUGAAGCCAAGCUAAGGGUUGAAACAUAUGUAUGCACAGUUAGUUAACACCUUUUAAUAUACACAACAGUAAAUCCUCACAUAGAUAUACAGCAAAUUUAGACACGUAUUACCUGAGUGGAACUCAACUGUGACAAUGUGUGAAAUGAUACAUUUAACUGUAAUGAAACAGAACUCAGAGGAAGCAAACCCACCAGUUUAAGGCUCUCCUGCCCUCAUAACACUGCAAUAUUUACAUUACAUAUGGAGCAAUAGGUAGGAAAGGGCUGCACACUCUCCAGCUAUUUAAGCACAGAGAAGGAAUGCUGCACUUGAUGCAUGUUUUCAAACCUCUAUGCACAAACCUGAGCUGACUCCCACACCCUGAGGACAGUGCAGUAGCAAGGAAAAAGGCAGAAAUGGGUAAAUCUACAGAUCUGCAUGCGGCGAGAGGAUUAAAAAGCAAGGCAAAAAUAACUAAGAACAGAUAGCUGAGGAAACAUUUACACUAAAGACUUUUGAGUGGCUGGCAAGUAGUUUUGUUGGUUUCUUUUUCUGAGCAAAACAGAAACUGAGCAAAACACCUCUACAAGGGCAGGUGUUUGAUUUGAAGCUGGUAGCAAGGGCUCGUUUCAGCCAAACAAUCACCUGCCUCGGCAGGACGGGAGAGACAGCACCGCGGCCAAAAGCCGUUUGCAACAAAACCCGCGCAGCAGCGCGCAGCCACUGCCCCCCAGCAGGCGCCUGCAGCCACAGCUUCCCAGCAGCGCGCGGCGCCCUCGCGCUCGGGGCGGCGGCGCGCGGCCGUUAGAGCCGUUAGAGUUCGCCUGAGGUAACCGCUGGCUCGGUGUGUAAAAGCGAUGUACCCCGCUUCUCUUGCUUACCGUCAGCUAGCGCGUACCUGCGAGCUGUUCUCCAAAGAGCUGGGUUCUGAGGCUGAGAAACCUCACUGAGAAGAGUGAAAACACGGCCCUUUUGUUUUCUUCGCCUAGGUUCUUCUGCGGUAGAAAAGGCUGCACGGUUCUGCACAGCUGUUGGACUUCUGACAGCAGUUCUUUUUCACUUCUCCUGACCCUGGCUGAACAGUCUAAUUCAUUCUUAUUCUGCUGAGACUCAAGCAUGUAAUUGAACCCCUUCAACAGAUGAAAAAAAGCAGAGUUCCAGUGGCUGCUGAAUGCAUAUACACUAUUUAUCAGGCUGAAGUUCCAUGUGGUCAGGAAGACCUUCUGCAUGAAACAACUGAAAGUAGAAGAAAAGAAGGUGUUUGAAUAUGAACUGCACUCUUCAGUUACUGCAGACAGCUUACAGAGAACAGAUGCCAAGAAGGCGAGACAAAGAAUGGAUUCCUCCUGGACAGGAGAACAUAGGAGAAAAAAAUAUGAGUUAUAUCUGAAAUGGAAGAAAGCUAAAAUUAAAUAUAAAAUAAUAUUUUGGUAAAAAGAUCCCUAGAAAUAGAAAUAUCUAAAAAUAAAGACAAUA